UCCACUCAACUCCCAUUUUUGACAUGGCGUAGGGAAGAGGCAGCGCAGCGGGCAGGCAUUGUAGCGGGAAAACCGUGAUCAGUUGAUAAAGUAGAGGAAUUUCUAUGUUUUAAUUUCAGUAGGUUGAUAUACAUUUGCAAGUUGUAACUAAGAGUCAAGCAAAGUUCAGGGUGCCCACUAAGUGUUGAAGAUGAUGUCUGAUGCCAGUGACAUGUUGGCAGCAGCUUUGGAGCAGAUGGAUGGGAUAAUAGCAGGCUCCAAGUCCAUGGACUACUCCAACGGCCUGUUUGACUGCCAGUCACCAACCUCUCCC